rnacentral:rRNA from 1 species
AUGAACGCUGGCGGCGUGCCUAAUACAUGCCAGUCGAGCGAACAGACGAGGAGCUUGCUCCUCUGACGUUAGCGGCGGACGGGUGAGUAACACGUGGAUAACCUACCUAUAAGACUGGGAUAACUUCGGGAAACCGGAGCUAAUACCGGAUAAUAUAUUGAACCGCAUGGUUCAAUAGUGAAAGACGGUUUUGCUGUCACUUAUAGAUGGAUCCGCGCCGCAUUAGCUAGUUGGUAAGGUAACGGCUUACCAAGGCGACGAUGCGUAGCCGACCUGAGAGGGUGAUUGGGCAACCUGGAACUUGGGCACGGUCCAGACUCCCACGGGAGGCAGCAGUAGGGAAUCUUCCGCAAUGGGGGGAAGCCUGACGGGGCAACGCCGCGUGAGUGAUGAAGGUCUUCGGAUCGUAAAACUCUGUUAUUAGGGAAGAACAAAUGUGUAAGUAACUAUGCACGUCUUGACGGUACCUAAUCAGAAAGCCACGGCUAACUACGUG